GAUGGCCUUGUGGUUAGAGCGUCCGCCUCGGAUGCGGAAGGCCGCAGGUUCGAACCCCGGCCGAUUCA